GCCCCCUUAGCUCAUGGUUGGUUAGAGCGGCAAGCUCAUAACUUGAAGGUACGUGGUUCGACUCCACGAGGGGGCACCA
rnacentral:tRNA from 1 species